rnacentral:rRNA from 1 species
AAAAUCCGGGAUCACUUACGCCGAGCACCGAGACGAGUCCUAUGAGGACGAAGUGACUGACACCACGCUUCCAGGAAAAGCCACUAAGCUUCAGCUUAAGAAAAACCGUACCGCAAACCGACACAGGUAGGCAGGGUGAGAAUCCCAAGGCGCUUGAGAGAACUCGGGUGAAGGAACUAGGCAAAAUGGCACCGUAACUUCGGGAGAAGGUGCGCCCUUUGGUGUGGUCACGUGCGUGACUGAGCAUCGAAGGGUCGCAGUAACCUGGCCGCUGCGACUGUUCAUCAAAAACACAGCACUCUGCAAACACGAAAGUGGACGUAUAGGGUGUGACGCCUGCCCGGUGCUGGAAGGUUAAUUGAUGGGGUCAGCCGCAAGGCGAAGCUCUUGAUCGAAGCCCCAGUAAACGGCGGCCGUAACAAUAACGGUCCUAAGGUAGCGAAAUUCCUUGUCGGGUAAGCUCCGACCUGCACGAAUGGCGUAACGACAGCGGCGCUGUCUCCACCCGAGACUCAGUGAAAUUGAAAUCGCUGUGAAGAUGCAGCGUUCCCGCGGCAAGACGGAAAGACCCCGUGAACCUUUACUAUAGCUUUACACUGAACGUUGAGUUCUUCUGUGUAGGAUAGGUGGGAGGCUAUGAAAUCAGGACGCUAGUUCUGGUGGAGCCAUCCUUGAAAUACCACCCUGAAGUGCUUGACGUUCUAACCUAGGCCCGUAAUCCGGGUCAGGGACCGUGUAUGGUGGGUAGUUUGACUGGGGCGGUCUCCUCCCAAAGAGUAACGGAGGAGCACGAAGGUACGCUCAGCGCGGUCGGACAUCGCGCACUGUGUGCAAAGGCAUAAGCGUGCUUGACUGCGAGAUCGACGGAUCAAGCAGGUACGAAAGUAGGUCUUAGUGAUCCGGUGGUUCUGUAUGGAAGGGCCAUCGCUCAACGGAUAAAAGGUACUCCGGGGAUAACAGGCUGAUACCGCCCAAGAGUUCAUAUCGACGGCGGUGUUUGGCACCUCGAUGUCGGCUCAUCACAUCCUGGGGCUGUAGCCGGUCCCAAGGGUAUGGCUGUUCGCCAUUUAAAGUGGUACGCGAGCUGGGUUCAGAACGUCGUGAGACAGUUCGGUCCCUAUCUGUCGUGGGCGUUGGAGAUUUGAGGGGGGCUGCUCCUAGUACGAGAGGACCGGAGUGGACGUUCCGCUGGUGUUCGGGUUGUCAUGCCCAUGGCAUUGCCCGGUAGCUACGAACGGAAGUGAUAACCGCUGAAAGCAUCUAAGCGGGAAGCACGCCCCAAGAUGAGAUCUCCCGAGAGCUUGACUCUCCUAAAGGCACCAUCAAGACUAGGUGGUUGAUAGGUCAGGUGUGGAAGCGCAGCAAUGCGUUGAGCUAACUGAUACUAAUGAGCCGUGAGGCUUGAC